rnacentral:rRNA from 1 species
GCGGCAAGAGCUCAAAUUUGAAAGCUGGCUCCUUCGGGGCCCGCAUUGUAAUUUGCAGAGGAUGCUUCGGGAGCGGCCCCCAUCUAAGUGCCCUGGAACGGGCCGUCAUAGAGGGUGAGAAUCCCGUCUGGGAUGGGGUGCCCGCGCCCGUGUGAAGCUCCUUCGACGAGUCGAGUUGUUUGGGAAUGCAGCUCUAAAUGGGUGGUAAAUUUCAUCUAAAGCUAAAUACUGGCCGGAGACCGAUAGCGCACAAGUAGAGUGAUCGAAAGAUGAAAAGCACUUUGAAAAGAGAGUUAAACAGCACGUGAAAUUGUUGAAAGGGAAGCGCUUGCGACCAGACUCGCCCGCGGGGUUCAGCCGGCAUUCGUGCCGGUGUACUUCCCCGCGGGCGGGCCAGCGUCGGUUUGGGCGGCCGGUCAAAGGCCCUCGGAAUGUAACGCCCCCCGGGNCGNCUUAUAGCCGAGGGUGCCAUGCGGCCAGCCCGGACCGAGGAACGCGCUUCGGCUCGGACGCUGGCAUAAUGGUCGUAAGCGACCC